rnacentral:lncRNA from 1 species
GACUUUCAAAUCCCACCAUCUUCUAUGUUGAUUGGGAUUUUAAAACUUCAGCCACGUCCCAGUGUCUUGUUUCAGGCCCGCUUGAAAUCCAUAUGAGAAUGGUACCAAUGUCGCACUCGCAUACAAAGUCUUUCUCUGUCGCAUUUGAACUCGGGCUGAACCACCAAAAGUCCCACACAAAGCCUCUGCCUCUUGUCUUACGCGAGAUCCCAGCAUCCAUCAAUACUUUGGGUUCCUAUGGGCCCCAAACAUUUAAACCACCAAAGGCCCACUUGAUUUGUUCACUCCACACUCACGUCAUAGGCCUAUCCAUGCUCUCCAUGUUGCACCC